rnacentral:rRNA from 1 species
GGUUCGAUUCCGGAGAGGGAGCCUGAGAAACGGCUACCACUUCCAAGGAAGGCAGCAGGCGCGCAAAUUACCCAAUCCCGACACGGGGAGGUAGUGACAAUAAAUAACAAUACGGGGCUCUUUAGGGUCUCGUAAUUGGAAUGAGUACAAUUUAAAUCCCUUAACGAGGAACAAUUGGAGGGCAAGUCUGGUGCCAGCAGCCGCGGUAAUUCCAGCUCCAAUAGCGUAUAUUAAAGUUGUUGCAGUUAAAAAGCUCGUAGUUGAAUUUCGGGAUUGACGCGACGGUCGUGCCUUAAGGGGCGUGAACUGUCGCCGUUGAUUUCUCACCUUCUGGAGAAGCUCGAUGUCCUUAAUUGGAUGUCUUGUGGAACCAGGACCUUUACCUUGAAAAAAUUAGAGUGUUUAAAGCAGGCAUUUUGCUCGAAUACAUUAGCAUGGAAUAAUAGAAUAGGACGGCAUGGUUCUAUUUGUUGGUUUCUAGGAUCACCGUAAUGAUUAAUAGGGAUAGUUGGGGGCAUUAGUAUUCAAUUGUCAGAGGUGAAAUUCUUGGAUUUAUUGAAGACUAACUACUGCGAAAGCAUUUGCCAAGGAUGUUUUCAUUAAUCGAGAACGAAAGUUAGGGGAUCGAAGACGAUCAGAUACCGUCGUAGUCUUAACCAUAAACUAUGCCGACUAGGAAUCAGACGAUGUUAAUUUUUUAAUGACUCGUUUGGCACCUUACGGGAA